AUUGAACGCUGGCGGCAUGCUUUACACAUGCAAGUCGAACGGCAGCGCGGGCUUCGGCCUGGCGGCGAGUGGCGAACGGGUGAGUAAUGCAUCGGAACGUGCCCAGUAGUGGGGGAUAGCCCGGCGAAAGCCGGAUUAAUACCGCAUACGACCUGAGGGUGAAAGCGGGGGACCGAAAGGCCUCGCGCUAUUGGAGCGGCCGAUGUCGGAUUAGCUAGUUGGUGGGGUAAAGGCUUACCAAGGCGACGAUCCGUAGCUGGUCUGAGAGGACGACCAGCCACAGUGGACGGGAGCCGCGCCCCGGACCCCAGGGGGGGGCGGCGGGGGGGAUUUUGGGAGAAGGGGGGCACCCCGGCCCCGGCCUGGCCGGGGGGGGAAAGAGGGCUUGGGGUUUGAAAACGUGUUUUGUUGGGAAAAAAGUCGUCGGGCCAAAUCCCGGGGGGGGAGGACGGUACGGAAAGAAUAAGCACGGGCUAACUCCGGG
rnacentral:rRNA from 1 species